rnacentral:lncRNA from 1 species
AGUUCGUUGUGAGCUGAGUAUGAGAUGAGUAUGAGACAAAGCAUCCAACGAUGCUCAGAUAUCUUCAAAAGAUAAAGGAUCACUCAAUGAGUUUCAAAAAACUAGAUAUCCAAAGGAUUCCUAGAUCAGAGAAUGUCUGAGCUGAUGCACUACCCCAUCUAGCUACCCCCAAUUCUGUCGAUCUGGGAUGGAGGAUCUACAUCGAAUAUUUGGAUGUCCCAAACAUCAAAGGGACUUCGAGCAUCAACCAGAUUGACGAGGAGCCAAGCUAGAGAGAUCUACUAAUCAACUACUUAAGCAAUGGCACC